CAGUAGCCGCGGUAAUACGGAGGGAGCUAGCGUUGUUCGGAAUUACUGGGCGUAAAGCGCGUGUAGGCGGUUACUCAAGUCAGAGGUGAAAGCCCGGGGCUCAACCCCGGAACUGCCUUUGAAACUAGGUGACUAGAAUCUUGGAGAGGUCAGUGGAAUUCCGAGUGUAGAGGUGAAAUUCGUAGAUAUUCGGAAGAACACCAGUGGCGAAGGCGACUGACUGGACAAGUAUUGACGCUGAGGUGCGAAAGCGUGGGGAGCAAACAGGAUUAGAUACCCCCGUAGUCCCUGUCUCUUAUAU
rnacentral:rRNA from 1 species